GUACAAAAAGUACAAGUACAAACAUCCAUCAAAUAUGACAAAUUAGAGGAAACACGACUAAUUCAGUUCUUCAUUUGGGCCAAAAGAACAAAGGAACAAAGAGCGUGACUUGGCUGAGAGGUGUGGGAAGUCUUGAUUCCCGUUCACACAGGAUGCAAAUGAGCUGGCUGAAGACUACAUGGAAAUAUCCAGUUAGCAUCCAUCACACCAGACUCUCACAUACCUGUAUAUGUGUGCAUGUACUACUGUUUUGAUUUGAGCAGUGCUGAGUCAGGAAGUUUAAAUCCCCUGCAAUAAGAGAAUGCAACUUUGAUCUGCUUUGUGUAUUCGUCACAUACCACUGAGGUCAUUGGUUGUUUUUGUGGUGAUUGUGUUUGCGGCUCACUCUCUGUCCUUUCACUUUAAAUGACAGCAUAUUAUGAUGA